AGCAACGAGGAGGAUCAUGAAAUAGCCGAUGACUUUGAGGCCGGAGCAGAGCCUGAAGAGGUUUAUCUUCAUUCCGGGAUUGGUUGGGAUUCGGAACGGCCGAGAUAUGCCGAUUGGGAACUGGGGGAGGGUGAUUGGCCGCCUGGUUCGCGGUGGGAAGAGGCGUUUCCAGAUGUCAGGAGCCAGAAUUAAGGUGUUCCGGGAUUUGGAGUUGGAAGUGGGGAGGGACUUUGCUGAGUGAAAAGUCGACUUCUCCUCUGACUUUUACUCCAACAGUAGUAACUGAGUUUGGUACUUCGGGCGUGUCGGAGGAUCUGUCACAAACUCAUUCCACCGUGUCAGUUCUC
rnacentral:lncRNA from 1 species